AUUGAACGCUGGCGGCAGGCCUAACACAUGCAAGUCGAGCGGAUGAGGAAAGCUUGCUUUUCGAUUCAGCGGCGGACGGGUGAGUAAUGCCUAGGAAUCUGCCUGUUAGUGGGGGAUAACUCGGGGAAACUCGGGCUAAUACCGCAUACGUCCUACGGGAGAAAGUGGGGGAUCUUCGGACCUCACGCUAACAGAUGAGUCUGGGUCGGAUUAGCUAGUAGGAGAGGUAAGCGCUCACCUAGGCGACGAUCCGUAACUGGGCGACGAGGAUGAUCAGUCACACUGGAACUGAGACACGGUCCAGACUCCUACGGGAGGCAGCAGUGGGGAAUAUUGGACAAUGGGCGAAAGCCUGAUCCAGACAUGCCGCGUGUGUGAAGAAGGUCUUCGGAUUGUAAAGCACUUUAAGUUGGGAGGAAGGGUAUUCACCUAAUACGUGGGUACUUUGACGUUACCAACAGAAUAAGCACCGGCUAACUCUGUGCCAGCAGCCGCCGUAAGAC
rnacentral:rRNA from 1 species